UACGUAGGGUGCGAGCGUUAAUCGGAAUUACUGGGCGUAAAGCGUGCGCAGGCGGUGAGCUGUGUCCGAUGUGAAAGCCCCGGGCUUAACCUGGGAAUGGCAUUGGAAACUGGCUCGCUGGAGUGUGGCAGAGGGGGGUGGAAUUCCGCGUGUAGCAGUGAAAUGCGUAGAGAUCCGGAAGAACACCGGUGGCGAAGGCGGCCCGCUGGGCAACUGCUGACACUGAGGCGCGACAGCGUGGGGAGCAAACAGG
rnacentral:rRNA from 1 species